rnacentral:rRNA from 1 species
AGAGUUUGAUCAUGGCUCAGGAUAAACGCUGGCGGCGUGCCUAACACAUGCAAGUCGAACGCGCUUAGCAAUAAGCGAGUGGCGGACGGGUGAGGAACACGUGGGUUAUCUACCUUGAGGUGAGGAAUACCGGCGAGAAAUCGCCGACAAUACCGCAUACGUUUGGAAACAAACAAAGUCAAGCAAUUGACGCCUGAAGA